UACAGAGGUCUCAAGCGUUGUUCGGAUUCAUUGGGCGUAAAGGGUGCGUAGGCGGCGCGGUAAGUCGGGUGUGAAAUCUCGGAGCUUAACUCCGAAACUGCAUUCGAUACUGCCGUGCUUGAGGACUGGAGAGGAGACUGGAAUUUACGGUGUAGCGUGAAAUGCGUAGAGAUCAUGAGGAAGACCAGUGGCGAAGGCGGGGUCUCUGG
rnacentral:rRNA from 1 species